rnacentral:rRNA from 1 species
GACGAACGCUGGCGGCGUGCUUAACACAUGCAAGUCGAACGGAAAGGCCCUGCUUUUGUGGGGUGCUCGAGUGGCGAACGGGUGAGUAACACGUGAGUAACCUGCCCUUGACUUUGGGAUAACUUCAGGAAACUGGGGCUAAUACCGGAUAGGAGCUCCUGCUGCAUGGUGGGGGUUGGAAAGUUUCGGCGGUUGGGGAUGGACUCGCGGCUUAUCAGCUUGUUGGUGGGGUAGUGGCCUACCAAGGCGACGAUGCGUAGCCGACCUGGGAGGGUGAUCGGCCACAUUGGGACUGAGACACGGCCCAG